rnacentral:snRNA from 1 species
GUGCUCGUUUUGGCAGCACAUAUACUAAAAUUGGAACAAUAUAGAGAAGAUUAGCAUGGUACCUGCACAAGGAUGACAAGCAAAUUCAUGACGCAUUCCAUAUUUUU